AUCUAUUUAGUAUAAAGUAUAUUUGACUUCCAAUCAAAAGGUUUGGAUAAUUCCAAAAUAGAUA
rnacentral:tRNA from 6 species